GAAAUGCGAUAAGUAGUGUGAAUUGCAGAAUUCAGUGAAUCAUCGAAUCUUUGAACGCACAUUGCGCCCCUUGGUAUUCCAUGGGGCAUGCCUGUUCGAGCGUCAUCUACACCCUCAAGCUCUGCUUGGUGUUGGGCGUCUGUCCCGCCCCCGCGCGUGGACUCACCCCAAAUCCAUUGGCAGCGUUCCUUGCCCCCUCUCGCGCAGCACAUUGCGCUUCUCGAGGGCGGCUCCGGGACGCGAUCCAGCAAGAUGACCACCGUCUUUGACCUCGGAUCAGGUAGGGAUACCCGCUGAACUUAAGC
rnacentral:misc_RNA from 1 species